rnacentral:antisense_RNA from 1 species
CCUUACGGCGGGCGUGUCGGGCAGGCUUCGUGCCUGGCCGGGUGAUGCCUUUGAACUGCCGGUUUUCGACCCCGACACGUCCGCCACCUUG